GUGCUCGUCAUCCGCCGUGCUUGUGAGUCGAAGGGUCCCUUGAAUUCUAUGGCUCCUAGCCAUGAUGGGUUUUUUGGAACUCAACAAAGCAUUCAUGGGCUGCUUUUUGCUGAUUUUUUUCAUUAGUUCAUGUAGGGAGGGCAACUGGAAUUUCGCCCUGAUUUUUUUCAAUAAAAAAGCAAAUGCUUCACAUUAUAACAAUUUCGGGUGAUGCACGGAGCACACUAGGCUGAGCCAAAAGGUCUGAAACACAAGGGAAUGAGGAAAGUGUUAACACAAAGGAUGGCAAUCCAUUGUGCAAAACGGUGUUUGUUGAUUGUGAAG